rnacentral:other from 1 species
CCCCUGCAUAGUGCGUGUAGACAGAAUUUUUAGAACCAACACCUAUUAAGAGGGGCCGAUCUCUAAAAUAUGGCGUGCAAGCUUACAUUUUAUAGUAAGAAGCCCAGGAGUAUUUAGGUAGGCACCCACCUGUUGCAGAACAGGUCCUUAAAAAUUCAAGACAUCUUGCGGCUAAGGCGGGGAAU